rnacentral:rRNA from 1 species
AGUGAACGCUGGCGGUAGGCCUAACACAUGCAAGUCGAACGGCAGCACAGUAAGAGCUUGCUCUUACGGGUGGCGAGUGGCGGACGGGUGAGGAAUACAUCGGAAUCUACUUUUUCGUGGGGGAUAACGUAGGGAAACUUACGCUAAUACCGCAUACGACCUACGGGUGAAAGCAGGGGAUCUUCGGACCUUGCGCGAUUGAAUGAGCCGAUGUCGGAUUAGCUAGUUGGCGGGGUAAAGGCCCACCAAGGCGACGAUCCGUAGCUGGUCUGAGAGGAUGAUCAGCCACACUGGAACUGAGACGCGGUCCAGACUCCUACGGGAGGCAGCAGUGGGGAAUAUUGGACAAUGGGCGCAAGCCUGAUCCAGCCAUACCGCGUGGGUGAAGAAGGCCUUCGGGUUGUAAAGCCCUUUUGUUGGGAAAGAAAAGCAGCAGGUUAAUACCCCGCUGUUCCGACGGUACCCAAAGAAUAAGCACCGGCUAACUUCGU